GAUGCACGCUGGCGGCGUGCCUAAUACAUGCAAGUCGAGCGAAGCGGGGACGGGUGAGUAACACGUAGAUAACCUCCUAUAAGACUGGGAUAACUUCGGGAAACCGUAGCUAAACCGGAUACUUAUAGAUGGAUCCCCUCUGCAUUAGCUAUUUGGUAAGUUAACGGCUUACCAAGCCAACGAUGCAUAUCCGACCUGAGAGGGUGAUCGGCAACACUGGACCUGUGACCGGGUCCAGAAUCCACCGGGAGGCGGCAGUAGGGACUCUUCGGAAAUGGGCGAAGGCCGACCGGGGCAACGCCGCUGAAGUGAUGAGGGUCUCCGGAUCGAAAGACUCUGUUAUUAGGGAAGCGGUACCUAAUCAGAAAGCGACGGCUAACUACGUGCCAGCCGCCGCGGUAAUAC
rnacentral:rRNA from 1 species